ensembl:lncRNA
AUUUCUUCUACCCAACUCACCUGCAUACAAGGCUUUGUUGUCAGUGGUGUUGGAUAACUCCUCGUAGACCUCAAACAGAUGGCAAACUUCAAACAUACUGGUGCCUUGGAAGUCUGUCACAGCUCCAUGCUCAAAUACGCACCAAAGCGUCUCCACUUCCAGUACGACACCAAUACGAGCCCACACCCAACUCACCAUUCUAGACCAUAACAACAAUGUUGGCAGGAUAAAGGCUGUUAAAGAAUCAGGCACUUUGAGGUACUGCACCACCUUUCAGAAACAACCAAAAGACUGGAUUGCCAGAAAACAUACGUGCCCACCACACAAACCUUCUGCAUAGACCUGGUGGGGCUGGUUCUCAG